CCGCCAGACUCCUACGGGAGGCAGCAGUGGGGGAUAUUGCACAAUGGGGGGAACCCUGAUGCAGCGACGCCGCGUGGGUGAAGGAGUGCUUCGGCAUGUAAAGCCCUAUCGGCAGGGAAGAAGCAAGACGGUACCUGACUAAGAAGCCCCGGCUAACUACGUGCCAGCAGCCGCGGUAAUACGUAGGGGGCGAGCGUUAUCCGGAUUCACUGGGUGUAAAGGGAGCGUAGACGGCCAAGCAAGCCAGGGGUGAAAGCCCGGGGCCCAACCCCGGGACUGCCCUUGGAACUGCAUGGCUGGAGUGCGGGAGGGGCAGGCGGAAUUCCUGGUGUAGCGGUGAAAUGCGUAGAUAUUAGGAGGAACACCAGUGGCGAAGGCGGCCUGCUGGACGACAACUGACGGUGAGGCGCGAAAGCGUGGGGAGCAAACAGGAUUAGAUACCCGAGUAU
rnacentral:rRNA from 1 species